CUGGAAUGUUAGCAAGCUAUUUGCUGGAAAAAAUGCCCACAACAGGCCUAAUGUUGAUCACAUUAAUGCGUUUGAGUGAGUAUGGAGUGCAAAUGAUUGAAAAUGCUUCCAGAUCCCCGUUGCAAGGGACAAAGCAGGCUCUGUUCUCUGAUCUGAUGGUCAUUUUUUUUUCCAGCGGAGGAUGUGGGGCAGGAAGAGGGAAGAGGGCCAAUCUCUGUCUAAUGGUUCCAAACAGGGCCCGGGCCCGGCCCUCUGGAUGCUGACGAGUGGGAAAUGAAACACAGAUGGGUCAGAUGGGUAAGGAGAGGGGGAUUACAGGUCAGGCCAAAGAGUUGGAAUAAAUUAAGUGCUUAUGAGGUACAGAAUGGCACAUUGUUUAAGUGAAUGGACAGGGAAAAAACAUUCCAGCAUUGUUCAUCCGCUGAGGGAGCCCAACGCUCCUCUUCCCAGACGAGCCCAGGCCACAGAGCGCCUCCUCCUCGCCAGGAUGUUUGUGACCCACAGACUGAAAACGCGGCCAGGCGGUGCCCGAAACAUUAUCCUAGCCUCCAAAGAGGCCAGUUUGGCUUUAUUACACGGGAGAUGUAAUUUAUUGGGAGAAAUGUUUGGGUUCGUGUGUCGGAUGGUGGAGAGUCAGAUUUGGAGUUCCCUGGGGAUCUCCGAGGAGAAGGAGAAUUCAGGCAAAGCUGUCCAUUCGGUUGGUAACGAUACAAGCAGGAGAAUAGGACGGAAAUCCAAUUCUUCUGCUCCCUGGGGUGUGACUCUCAUACUGCAUCGCACAGCUUUCAUUUCGCGAAGAACUUGUGGAAGCAGAUGUUCACAAAGCAACUGACCAGGCCAGGUGUGUCCUUCAAGGCUACCUGCAUUCAACAGAGGCGACCACAGCCCAGACCCAUCCUUCUUGGGAGAAUUUCAAGAUGCUCCACAUAGUGGUGCCUAGCGCUCUGUGCACUCAGAGGCUAGAAGAAAAGAUACAGAGGUCCUCUUUCAAGGAGAGGCCCUGAUGUUUCUAUUCUUACAAGGAUUCUUUGGUAAUAAAUACAGUGAAAACACCGUCACCGUAGAGAUAAUACUUAAUGCUCAAGAGGUACGUAGCAGAGAUUGCAUUCCAAUCAAGGACUUCCGUAACCCUGUCUACCAAGCCAGUAUCACCUGUAGGCCAGUUCACCUUCAUCCAGUCACUUUACAGCACUUGAGUGUUUGCUGUCCGCUCAAUUAAAAUCCUACUCUGGUGGGAAAAACCAGAUUUCCAAAUGGGGACUUUAUUGAUUCAAUAAAAUUUAAGAAAUUCUGCUUAUGGAAAAACUCAUUAACCCAAACUAAUAAAUACGAGUUUACCCU
rnacentral:lncRNA from 1 species